rnacentral:rRNA from 1 species
GCCGCUGCAGAGUUUGAUCCUGGCUCAGAUUGAACGCUGGCGGCAGGCUUAACACAUGCAAGUCGAGCGGGGGAAGGUAGCUUGCUACCGGACCUAGCGGCGGACGGGUGAGUAAUGCUUAGGAAUCUGCCUAUUAGUGGGGGACAACAUCUCGAAAGGGAUGCUAAUACCGCAUACGUCCUACGGGAGAAAGCAGGGGAUCUUCGGACCUUGCGCUAAUAGAUGAGCCUAAGUCGGAUUAGCUAGUUGGUGGGGUAAAGGCCUACCAAGGCGACGAUCUGUAGCGGGUCUGAGAGGAUGAUCCGCCACACUGGGACUGAGACACGGCCCAGACUCCUACGGGAGGCAGCAGUGGGGAAUAUUGGACAAUGGGGGGAACCCUGAUCCAGCCAUGCCGCGUGUGUGAAGAAGGCCUUAUGGUUGUAAAGCACUUUAAGCGAGGAGGAGGCUACUUUAGUUAAUACCUAGAGAUAGUGGACGUUACUCGCAGAAUAAGC